UACGAAGGGGGCUAGCGUUGUUCGGAAUUACUGGGCGUAAAGCGCGUGUAGGCGGGGCUUUAAGUCAGGGGUGAAAUGCCAGGGCUCAACCUUGGAACUGCCUUUGAUACUGGAGACCUUGAGUCCGGGAGAGGUGAGUGGAAUUGCGAGUGUAGAGGUGAAAUUCGUAGAUAUUAGCAGGAACACCGGUGGCGAAGGCGGCUAUCUGGACGACAACUGACGCUGAGGCGCGAAAGCGUGGGGAUCAAACAGG
rnacentral:rRNA from 1 species